GGCCCAUAGCUCAGUGGUAGAGCACUGGCUUUGCAUGCAGGAAGUCCCACAUUCAAUCCCUGACAUCUCCA